AAUCAACGCUGGCGGCGUGCCUAACACAUGCAAGUUGAGCGCUUAAGGGGGCAACCCUCGAGAGAGCAGCGAACGGGUGAGUAACGCGUGGGUGAUCUUCCUUCGAGUGGGGAACAACAUCGGGAAACUGGUGCUAAUUCCGCAUAACACCUCGGGACUAAGCGUCUCGAGAUCAAAGCCGGGGACCGUAAGGCCUGGCGCUUGAAGAUGAGCCCGCGUUCGAUUAGCUAGNGGCGGGGUAAGUGGCCCACCAAGGCUUCGAUCGAUAGCCGGCCUGAGAGGGCGGACGGCCACACUGGAACUGAGACACGGUCCAGACUCCUAUGGGAGGCAGCAGU
rnacentral:rRNA from 1 species